UACGUAGGGGGCAAGCGUUGUCCGGAAUUAUUGGGCGUAAAGCGCGCGCAGGCGGUUAAUUAAGUCAGAUGUGAAAGGCUACGGCUCAACCGUAGAGUUGCAUUUGAAACUGGUUAACUUGAGUGCAGGAGAGGUAAGUGGAAUUCCCGGUGUAGCGGUGGAAUGCGUAGAGAUCGGGAGGAACACCAGUGGCGAAGGCGGCUUACUGGCCUGCAACUGACGCUGAGGCGCGAAAGCGUGGGGAGCGAACAGG
rnacentral:rRNA from 1 species